GAUGAACGCUAGCGGCAGGCCUAAUACAUGCAAGUCGAACGGGAUUGAGGAGCUUGCUCCUCAUGAGAGUGGCGCACGGGUGCGUAACACGUAUGUAACCUACCUUAAUCAGGGGAAUAGCCUCUCGAAAGAGAGAUUAACACCGCAUAAAAUCACACUAUGGCAUCAUAGCAUGAUCAAAUAUUUAUAGGAUUAAGAUGGGCAUGCGGAACAUUAGCUAGUUGGUAAGGUAACGGCUUACCAAGGCUACGAUGUUUAGGGGAUCUGAGAGGAUGGCCCCCCACGCUGUGACUGCGACACGGACCAGACUCCUACGGGAGGCAGCAGUAAGGAAUAUUGGUCAAUGGGCGGAAGCCUGAACCAGCCAUGCCGCGUACAGGAAGACGGCCCUACGGGUUGUAAACUGCUUUUGUACCGGAAUAAACCUUUCUACGUGUAGGAAGCUGAUUGUGCGGUAAGAAUAAGGAUCGGCUAACUCCGUGCCAGCUGCCGCAGUAA
rnacentral:rRNA from 1 species